CAAGGAAUCUUCCGCAAUGGGCGAAAGCCUGACGGAGCAACGCCGCGUGUGGGAUGACGCCUUUCGGGGUGUAAACCACUUUUCUCAGGGAAGAAGCACUGACGGUACCUGAGGAAGAAGGACCGGCUAACUACGUGCCAGCAGCCGCGGUAAUACGUAGGGUCCGAGCGUUGUCCGGAGUUACUGGGCGUAAAGCGCGCGCAGGCGGCGGUGUAAGCAUGGCGUGAAAGCCCCUGGCUUAACCAGGGAGGGUCGUCGUGGACUGCACCGCUUGAGGGCGGUAGGGGCUGGUGGAAUGCCUGGUGUAGUGGUGAAAUGCGUAGAGAUCAGGCGGAACACCCGUGGCGAAGGCGGCCAGCUGGGCCGUCCCUGACGCUGAGGCGCGAAGGCGUGGGGAGCGAACGGGAUUAGAUACCCCGGUAGUCCACGCAGUAAACGAUGCAGACUAGGCGUGGGGGGAGUUGACCCCCUCCGUGCCGGAGCCAACGCGGGAAGUCUGCCGCCUGGGGAGUACGGCCGCAAGGCUAAAAC
rnacentral:rRNA from 1 species